rnacentral:misc_RNA from 1 species
AAAAUUUGUGUAGCACUAGGCCAUAACGUAACGGUAAUGGGUGUGUGUGUGUGUGUGUGUGGAUGGGGAGGCCAGAGGAGGGGAGAAUGAAUUGAAUCUUCAAAGAGAGAAAAGUAUAAACUAUGAAAAGCAGUACCGAAUUUAAUCAAAGUAGCAAAGGAAUAACUACACAAAACAAUAUUAAAAAAAGAGGUUAAUCUGCUUGCAAAUCAUAGGGGAAAAAAGAAUAGAACAGGAAAUAACAACAUACCACAAAAUUAAGUAGCAAAAGAAUAAUAUUGCAGCAAUACUUAACAUAAAAUUUACAAGGCAACAUGCUAGACUAUUAAAGUAAGCAAUACACAACUUAAAAGGGAUAUAUUGAGAAAGAAAUCGAAGUCUUGAUCAUGAAUCUUGAUUCCAAAUCCUACGAGUGUUAACACUCUUGCCUACUAAGGAUUUAUGUCAUCCCCUUGCAGGUUAAACUAUACAGAAUGUAUUGUCAUCAAAUUUUUAUGCUUUUUGACCAAUACAUACUGUAAAUGGGACAAUAAUCAACUCUUUAGAGAGUGUUUGAGAAACUAUGGCUGGCUGCUAUGCCUAUUCUAUCUUUAAUUUCUAACAGUUGAUCCUUUUUCUUCUUUAGCCUACAUAAAUAAUUACCUUCCUCCUGUUUCUGUGUUGUUAUAACUCCAGUAAUCACUAUUUCAAAGUUCUAAUUUCUCACUUUCACACCACAAUCUUUCUAAUUGUUAAUCAAUCAAAAAAUUCAACUAUCAUCAUCACCAUGCUGUUAUGAACGCAUUGUGGGAGCCCUUGGCAAAGCUAGGUAAAUUUUUGAGAUUUACUUCCUAUUAUUAUUAGAU